rnacentral:rRNA from 1 species
UACGUAGGGAGCAAGCGUUGUCCGGAAUCAUUGGGCGUAAAGAGCUCGUAGGCGGCCUGUCGCGUCGGAUGUGAAAGCCCGGGGCUUAACCCCGGGUCUGCAUUCGAUACGGGCAGGCUAGAGUGUGGUAGGGGAGAUCGGAAUUCCUGGUGUAGCGGUGAAAUGCGCAGAUAUCAGGAGGAACACCGGUGGCGAAGGCGGAUCUCUGGGCCAUUACUGACGCUGAGGAGCGAAAGCGUGGGGAGCGAACAGG